GUGAACGCUGGCGGUAGGCCUAACACCUGCACGUCGAACGGCAGCACAGUAAGAGCUUGCUCUUACGGGUGGCGAGUGGCGGACGGGUGAGGAAUACAUCGGAAUCUACUUUUUCGUGGGGGAUAACGUAGGGAAACUUACGCUAAUACCGCAUACGACCUACGGGUGAAAGCAGGGGAUCUUCGGACCUUGCGCGAUUGAAUGAGCCGAUGUCGGAUUAGCUAGUUGGCGGGGUAAAGGCCCACCAAGGCGACGAUCCGUAGCUGGUCUGAGAGGAUGAUCAGCCACACUGGAACUGAGACACGGUCCAGACUCCUACGGGAGGCAGCAGUGGGGAAUAUUGGACAAUGGGCGCAAGCCUGAUCCAGCCAUACCGCGUGGGUGAAGAAGGCCUUCGGGUUGUAAAGCCCUUUUGUUGGGAAAGAAAAGCAGCAGGUUAAUACCCCGCUGUUCUGACGGUACCCAAAGAAUAAGCACCGGCUAACUUCGUG
rnacentral:rRNA from 1 species